rnacentral:hammerhead_ribozyme from 1 species
GCACUGCUGAGGAGUCCCAUACUAGGACGACACGGCUGUCCAGUAC